AAUUAGCCUCGGCAACCAUAAUAGCAGUAGUAACUAAUAUCAAAACAGCGUUUCAUAAAGCAGUUUUCUGCCUCUGCGCUUCACAACGUCCCUAUGAGCAUAGUGCACUAUAUGGCCAACCAUAUUUUAUAAAGACACCCUAUUUUGUGGAGGAAUCAAGAAGGUAUGAAAAGCGCUGUAUUUUUUUUUUCUCUAAUGGAAUAUUUCAAAUAUUCAGAAAAGGGGAGACAGUAGUAUACUGGAACCUCAUGUAUCCACCACAGUGCUCAACAAUAAACGAUACCUCCUAAAAAUUUUAGAGACCUCCUGCCUCAGGCUCUCCAGCAGCUGGGACUACAGACACGUGGGACUAUAUCCAGCCAAAAAAAAAAAAAUCAACUUUACUAAAGUACAGAUUCUGCAGUGACUUGGGAGACUGAGGCAGGAGGAUUGCAAGUUCAAGGCCAGCCUCAGCAACUUAAUGAGGCCCUAAGCAACUUAGUGACACCCUGUCUCAAAAUAAAACAAAAAGGUUGGGGAUGUAGCACAGUGAUAAAGCAUCCCUGGGUUCAACCCCUGCUACCAAAAAAAAAAAAAGUUGCAAAACUGAUGAAUACAGCAUUAAUCUGUGAGAACUUCUGGAACCAUGAAGUGCAAUAUGGAGAACAGAGCGACACUGAACACCUGACACAACUGGGGAACAAAUGCUUCAUUGUGCCAGAGUCUGUCACAUUUCAUGCCAUCCGAGGGAAGGGAUUUGACAAAUUAAUUGACUUGUCUUUUCUCUUUUCCAAGUGAUCUGCCACUCAACAGCAUCUGUCUUGCAUAUCAGCAGUGGAAGGACCUGCUGAAAAAUCACUUGAAUGUGAUAUCAUCGUUUCUUUGGAAAUGUGGAAGAACACGUUCCUGAAGCCUAAAUGGGUUUAGUCAUAAAUGGACAUUUAUAGGGUUAUGGGUGGAACAGUGCCAACACAGAGUGGCCAGAUCCCAAAUGACACGUGUGACUUUACAAAGACCUCAUGCAUGUGCUUGUGAUAUUUGGAACCCUCUAGACAACUCUCUAGACAACAACCCUCUAGACAACAACCAGGAUCAAGGGGCUGCUUUCUAGAAGGAAGGAGGAUUCCAAUCUAGUAUAGAGGAACAGCAGUGAUGAGGCCACAACCUCAGAGCUGGGGCCUAAGGAGACCAAAGGAACAGAAGUCAAUGCUCCAGGUAAACCCUCAAAGACUGGCAGACAAUAUUUAAACCUGCUAGGAUUUGAAUACGGUUUGUGCUCUGUAUCAUUGUCUUUUGUCUUCCAAACACAAAAUACUAUGUCACUUUAUACAGAAAAGAGGUUUGUUUUGUCUUGUUUUGUGUUGUGUUUUGGCUCAUCUUCUGGUCCAAGGUCGAGGGCCUACAUCUGGCGAUGGCCUUCUUGCUGGAAUAGUUCCAAGGUGGCUCAGACUAUCCUCAUGUCACAUGGCAAGAAAGAAGAUGAGGGGCUGGGGUUGUGGCUCAGCGGUAGAGUGCUUGCCUAGCAUGUGUCUCAG